rnacentral:piRNA from 1 species
UUGGAAACGCUCAGGUUCUUCUGGACC